rfam:Anopheles maculatus strain maculatus3 cont1.3112, whole genome shotgun sequence.
GUCGGGUACGGUGAUAUGGCACCGAAAACGUACAUCGGCAUGUUUGUUGGGGCGCUGUGUGCGUUGGCCGGUGUACUAACGAUAGCGCUCCCGGUUCCGGUCAUUGUGAGUAAC